CUACGGAGGCUGCAGUAGGGAAUAUUGCGCAAUGGGGGAAACCCUGACGCAGCAAUACCGUGUGAGUGAGGACGGCCUUCGGGUUGUAAAGCUCUGUCAAUGUGGAAAAACGGCCAGUCAUCUAAUAGGUGAUUGGAUUGAUGGUACACAUAAAGGAAGCACCGGCUAACUUCGUGCCAGCAGCCGCGGUAAUACGAAGGUGCAAGCGUUGUUCGGAUUUAUUGGGCGUAAAGCGCGCGCAGGCGGACUACCAAGUCAGAUGUGAAAUCUCGGGGCUCAACUCCGAAAGUGCGUCUGAAACUGAUAGUCUAGAAUGUUGAAGGGGGAAGGAGAAUAUCGCAUGUAGGGGUAAAAUCCGUAGAGAUGCGAUGGAAUACCAGAGGCGAAGGCGCCUUCCUGGCCAACAAUUGACGCUGAGGCGCGAAAGCGUGGGGAGCAAACAGGAUUAGAUACCCCGGUAGUC
rnacentral:rRNA from 1 species